CACUCGGGAUUUCGACGAUGGGCGGAGGAGCUUGUGUUCCUCAAGAUGCGGUUGAACAGGGAGGAGCAGCGCCUCCAAUGGCUCCAUCAAUGAGUAAUGAGGGACACCAUCAUAUGGCCAUGGUUCAGCUUCAUGGUUCUUUGGUUCUGAUGGAUGAUGGUGAGUAGGAUGAACCACCGAAUCAGGGGUCUCCUUUUUAUUUUAAUUUAUUUUUUUCCAGGUUUACUAGAUGGGAUAAUGAUGGAUAUUAUAUGAGUGUUUUAGUUGAUAAAUUAAAGAGUGAACACUAUUUCUGAGUUAACUCACUGAUUUAUAAUUCCAGAUUGCUUAUACUUAAUUAUUGGUAUGAUUGUGAUUAUGCUUUAAGGAUUAACAUGAUGUUGUUUAAUUAGGUUUGCUGUUUUGUGUUUGUUCAUCACAAGGAAAGUAGGUGUUCAUGAAAUUUUAAAGUUUAUAAUUUGUACAUAUACAUAUGUUUGUACUGUUACUAGUUUAGCCCAUGGAAAGAUGUUUAUGAAUGCUUAUGAUUAUGAACAUGUAGAGUAAUGGUUUUAGUUUUAUGACAUUCAUGGAAUUGACAUUAAAACGCAUACAUGUCUAUGAAUAUGUAAUAACAUGUAUAUUUUGGGAUAUAUAUCUUGAAUGUAACCCGUGGCUAUAAAGAGAUUAGUGACUAACCUGAAUGAUGCACCUGUGAUUGUUAUGAUAAUGUAUUAAUCGCCACUGAUCCUUUAAUUCUUUGUUUGUUGUUGAUUAGAUGUUGCCUUCUAUCUCCUUUAUGGCACCUU
rnacentral:lncRNA from 1 species